ACCCACUGAUGAAGUCAGCUUCCUCAUAGACCAGUUACCUCUCAUAGUACCACCAGAUGAGGACCAAGCCUUCAACACGUGGACACUCUCGGGACACUUCAUAUUCAAACCAUAAGACAAGCAAAGCAGAGCAGCGGUGUUCUAGCAGACUGCCACAGCCACAAAGAUCUCUACAAAAUUCAGCAUCCCCCGCAACCGGUGCAUACCAGUUCCUCCUUACCUGGGACUGUCUUCCCAUGACUGGAUCACAGCAGUCACGGAAGUGGAAGGAGGGAUGGGUGGGCAGACAAGAAAGAAAGGGAAUGAGAAGAAUACACUCCCACUCUUUACACAGCGGCUCUCUCCAGAACCAAGCUCAUGAUGAACUGUCUAUCCCGCACAUGGUGCUCCCACGAACUCAUCCGCUCAUCAGCGCACAUCAGCUCUCAUUGGCUCUCCACAGCCCUGCUACCUCAGCACACUCACCUGGGGGCAAGGUUUCCAACACUUGAGUCAAUGGAGGACAAACCACAUCCAAAUCAUCAUACAAAGCAUGAACAUUUAAGUGACGCAGCGUGAUGCCGUGAAUUAUAGUCAGCAUGUCACUGUAGUAAAACAGCUUAAGUAUCAUC